GAUGAACGCUGGCGGCGUGCCUAACACAUGCAAGUCGAGCGAAGCAUUUUAAAGGAAGUUUUCGGAUGGAAUUUGAAAUGACUGAGCGGCGGACGGGUGAGUAACGCGUGGGUAACCUGCCUCAUACAGGGGGAUAACAGUUAGAAAUGACUGCUAAUACCGCAUAAGCGCACAGGACCGCAUGGUCUGGUGUGAAAAACUCCGGUGGUAUGAGAUGGACCCGCGUCUGAUUAGCUAGUUGGUGAGGUAACGGCCCACCAAGGCGACGAUCAGUAGCCGACCUGAGAGGGUGAUCGGCCACAUUGGGACUGAGACACGGCCCAA
rnacentral:rRNA from 1 species